GCCCUCGUGGUGAAAUGGUCAGUACUCGACGCGUAUGCAAGAGGUCCAAGGUUCGAGUCCUGGCGAGGGCA
rnacentral:tRNA from 1 species